rnacentral:rRNA from 1 species
CGGCACGGGGGCAACCCUGGUGGCGAGUGGCGAACGGGUGAGUAAUGCAUCGGAACGUACCGUGUAAUGGGGGACAACGAGUCGAAAGAUUCGCUAAUACCGCAUACGCCCUUUGGGGGAAAGUGGGGGAUCGCAAGACCUCACGUUAUACGAGCGGCCGAUGCCGGAUUAGCUAGUUGGUGGGGUAAAGGCUCACCAAGGCGACGAUCCGUAGCUGGUCUGAGAGGACGACCAGCCACACUGGGACUGAGACACGGCCCAGACUCCUACGGGAGGCAGCAGUGGGGAAUUUUGGACAAUGGGGGCAACCCUGAUCCAGCCAUGCCGCGUGAGUGAAGAAGGCCUUCGGGUUGUAAAGCUCUUUCGGCCGGGACGAAAUCGCUACUUCUAAUAAAGGUAGUGGAUGACGGUACCGGAAUAAGAAGCACCGGCUAACUACGUGCCAGCAGCCGCGGUAAUACGUAGGGUGCGAGCGUUAAUCGGAAUUACUGGGCGUAAAGCGUGCGCAGGCGGUUUUGUAAGCCAGAUGUGAAAUCCCCGGGCUUAAUCUGGGAACUGCAUUUGGGACUGCAAGGCUAGAGUGUGUCAGAGGGAGGUGGAAUUCCACGUGUAGCAGUGAAAUGCGUAGAUAUGUGGAGGAACAUCGAUGGCGAAGGCAGCCUCCUGGGAUAACACUGACGCUCAUGCACGAAAAGCGUGGGGAGCAAACAGGAUUAGAUACCCUGCUAGUCCACGCCCUAAACGAUGUCAACUAGUUGUCGGAGGAGAGAUUCUUUGGUAACGCAGCUAACGCGUGAAGUU